rnacentral:snoRNA from 1 species
UAGCACCUUAAAGCGUUUUCUUGUCGGCCAAAUUAUAAAAUGCUCUGGAAAAUCGUACAAAGUGUGCAAAACUAAAGUAAAAAACAGUUGCAAGUGAUU